rnacentral:tRNA from 1 species
UGGCUGAGCGGUAAAGCGCUUGUCUUCCGAACUGGAGGUCCCAGGUUCAAAUCCUGG